GCCAUUUGUUCAUCUCUGGGUGUGUCCAGCACCCCCCCCCCCCCGCCCAAGGUGAAGCGGCGAUCAGAGGGACCGUUUCGGAAGCAAGUCUUCUAGCGGUGAAAGUGAGGGGACGCACGGCGAACCACAACUACGGCGAGCUGGUGGAGGCGGCGGCGGCGGCGGCUCCUGUCCUGUUUUGGGGUUUAAGACACAGCGCAGUGACAUAGCGGGACCGGUCCAUGGAUCUGUAAAUACACUCAUUAAGUGUGGCUAACUGGCCAAAGUAGUGCAUGUCCCCUCCGUGCUGUGAGAAGAGCCAGCCACGAGAUGGAUUCAUAUGCUUGUCGAUGGGCCAAGGAACCAUCUCCACGAAGCCCUCCUGGCUGUAGCUGUGCAACAGGCGGUCGAGGUCUGGGCCACAGCUGGUGUUAUAGAUCACCACUCUGUCCACACCCACCAACCUGGGGCAAGGAUAAUUGUCCUCCUCUUCCUCAGAUUUCUGCUUUGCCUGAGCUCACGUACACAUAUAACAAAAUGCAAAAAAAAGAUUUGCAUUCUCCCAUGGUAUCAUCAUGCCUCCACACAAACAUAUACAGUAGCAAUAAAAAGCAUGUGAACCUUUUGGAAUUUCAUGGUUUUCUGCAUUAAUUUGUCAUAAAAUGUGAUGUGAUCUUCAUCUAAGUCAAGGGUAUUGACAAAUAUUAUGUGCCUAAAAUAAUAACACACAAAAAAAAUCUGAUCUUUCAUGUCUGCUCCAAAAGCAAACAAAUAACUAAGGGAAAACCAAAGUUGUCUGAAGCUCGUAAUCAUUGAAAGAAUUUUUGACAUUUUGAAAAAUAUACUUAUUUGAGUUCCUGCUGAGAAUUAGCUGAGAAGACUGAUGCCACUCUCAUAUCUCUGUGGUACAUACUGUGAUUUUAUGGGGGCUUUUGUGCUGGAGAAGCUUCAUUGUUUUUACACAUAGGUUUUGUAUGGAUAAAAUGAGAAAGAUAAUAGAUAUUAAUUAGUGAGUUGUAAAAAUGUUCUCAGGUGAUUUAUUUCUUUUAUGUAUACUGUAUUUGUCUUGUAAAGAGCUCAGCCUUUCAUCUUCAAGGUAUGUACACUGAAACACAGUGUUCCGGUCAAACUAGUUGGUCUGCUUUGACAUCAUUUUACUGUUCAACCAUAAACUGUAUGUGUUCAACAUCUGAACAUGAGGUCCAUUAUGCUAACAGUAAGGGACACAUGCAAUAAACUGUAUUGUUACAAAGGUUUACAAUAGCUGCUUUUCAUUUCUGACACAGUGGAUUGUGGUGUUGUUGCUGUGCUCACCUGUA